CGGCGAGUGAAGCGGCAACAGCUCAAAUUUGAAAUCUGGCGUCUUCGGCGUCCGAGUUGUAAUUUGCAGAGGGCGCUUUGGCAUUGGCAGCGGUCCAAGUUCCUUGGAACAGGACGUCACAGAGGGUGAGAAUCCCGUACGUGGUCGCUAGCCUUUACCGUGUAAAGCCCCUUCGACGAGUCGAGUUGUUUGGGAAUGCAGCUCUAAAUGGGAGGUAAAUUUCUUCUAAAGCUAAAUACUGGCCAGAGACCGAUAGCGCACAAGUAGAGUGAUCGAAAGAUGAAAAGCACUUUGGAAAGAGAGUUAAAAAGCACGUGAAAUUGUUGAAAGGGAAGCGCUUGCAGCCAGACUUGCCUGUAGUUGCUCAUCCGGGUUUUUACCCGGUGCACUCUUCUAUAGGCAGGCCAGCAUCAGUUUGGGCGGUUGGAUAAAGGUCUCUGUCAUGUACCUCUCUUCCGGGGAGAACUUAUAGGGGAGACGACAUGCAACCAGCCUGGAC
rnacentral:rRNA from 1 species